GAGUUUGCACCUAAAAUUCUCUGAUUCAGUCGCAUUGCCAAUUUACCAGGCAUUGCCCGACAUGAAGUUGAAAAUUGACGGGAUAAGGGAGAGUAAAAAGGAAGAUGAAGAAGUAGUGGAUAAUAAGGAUAAAGAGAAUGAAGUUAGUGGAAGGAAGGAGGGGGAAGGUGGGAAAAAGAAGAAGAAAGGAAGGAUUCACGAGGUUCGAUAUAUGGACUUCCGAGAUGAAAUGGUGAAUGAUGAGGAUGAGGUUGAGGAUGAAGCGACGGUGAGUGAGGAUGACAAUGAACAUAAGGGGGAAGAAGUGGAUUUAAUGGAGGAAAAUAAUGAGAAAGAAGACUUAAGUGAGAGCAUUAUUGAUGAUGAUUUAUAUGGUAAUGAACUUGGGGGAAAUAAAAG
rnacentral:lncRNA from 1 species